rnacentral:rRNA from 1 species
GUGGGGAAUUUUGGACAAUGGGGGCAACCCUGAUCCAGCCAUGCCGCGUGCGGGAAGAAGGCCUUCGGGUUGUAAACCGCUUUUGUCAGGGAAGAAAUCCUUUGGGUUAAUACCUCGGAGGGAUGACGGUACCUGAAGAAUAAGCACCGGCUAACUACGUGCCAGCAGCCGCGGUAAUACGUAAGGUGCGAGCGUUAAUCGGAAUUACUGGGCGUAAAGCGUGCGCAGGCGGUUUUGUAAGAUCGAUGUGAAAUCCCCGGGCUCAACCUGGGAACUGCAUUGGUGACUGCAAGGCUGGAGUGCGGCAGAGGGGGAUGGAAUUCCGCGUGUAGCAGUGAAAUGCGUAGAUAUGCGGAGGAACACCGAUGGCGAAGGCAAUCCCCUGGGCCUGCACUGACGCUCAUGCACGAAAGCGUGGGGAGCAAACAGGAUUAGAUACCCCAGUAGUCC